rnacentral:rRNA from 1 species
GACGAACGCUGGCGGCGUGCCUAACACAUGCAAGUCGAGCGAUGAAGCUUCUUCGGAAGUGGAUUAGCGGCGGACGGGUGAGUAACACGUGGGUAACCUGCCUCAUAGUGGGGAAUAGCCUCUCGAAAGGGAGAUUAAUACCGCAUAUGAUUGUAGUUCCGCAUGGAACAGCAAUUAAAGGACUUAUUCGCUAUGAGAUGGACCCGCGGCGCAUUAGCUAGUUGGUGAGGUAACGGCUCACCAAGGCGACGAUGCGUAGCCGACCUGAGAGGGUGAUCGGCCACAUUGGGACUGAGACACGGCCCAGACUCCUACGGGAGGCAGCAGUGGGGAAUAUUGCACAAUGGGGGAAACCCUGAUGCAGCAACGCCGCGUGAGUGAUGACGGCCUUCGGGUUGUAAAGCUCUGUCUUCAGGGACGAUAAUGACGGUACCUGAGGAGGAAGCCACGGCUAACUACGUGCCAGCCGCCGCCGUAA